rnacentral:rRNA from 1 species
AAUCUUCGGCAAUGGACGGAAGUCUGACCGAGCAACGCCGCGUGAGUGAGGAAGGUCUUCGGAUCGUAAAGCUCUGUUGCCCGGGAAGAAGGAGCUGCAGAGUAACUGCUGUGGAUUUGACGUUACCUGAGAAGAAAGCCCCGGCUAACUACGUUCCAGCAGCCGCGGUAAUACGUAGGGGGCAAGCGUUGUCCGGAAUUAUUGGGCGUAAAGCGCGCGCAGGCGGUUCUUUAAGUCUGGUGUUUAAGCCCAGGGCUCAACCUUGGGACGCACUGGAAACUGGGGGACUGGAGUGCAGGAGAGGAAAGUGGAAUUCCACGUGUAGCGGUGAAAUGCGUAGAGAUGUGGAGAAACACCAGUGGCGAAGGCGACUUUCUGGCCUGUAACUGACGCUGAGGCGCGAAAGCGUGGGGAGCAAACA